rnacentral:tRNA from 1 species
GGCUCAGUUGGUGGAGUAUGGCGCUUGCAACGCCAUGGUUGUGGGUUAGAUUCCCAC